AGAGUUUGAUCCUGGCUCAGGAUGAACGCUAGCUACAGGCUUAACACAUGCAAGUCGAGGGGCAGCAUGUUGGUUGCUUGCAACCGAUGAUGGCGACCGGCGCACGGGUGAGUAACGCGUAUCCAACCUACCCUUGUCCAUCGGAUAACCCGUCGAAAGGCGGCCUAACACGAUAUGCGGUUCACAGCAGGCAUCUAACGUGAACGAAAUGUGAAGGAGAAGGAUGGGGAUGCGUCUGAUUAGCUUGUUGGCGGGGUAACGGCCCACCAAGGCAACGAUCAGUAGGGGUUCUGAGAGGAAGGUCCCCCACAUUGGAACUGAGACACGGUCCAAACUCCUACGGGAGGCAGCAGUGAGGAAUAUUGGUCAAUGGACGAGAGUCUGAACCAGCCAAGUAGCGUGCAGGAUGACGGCCCUAUGGGUUGUAAACUGCUUUUAUAGGGGGAUAAAGUGUGCCACGUGUGGCAUAUUGCAGGUACCCUAUGAAUAAGGACCGGCUAAUUCCGUGCCAGCAGCCGCGGUAAUACGGAAGGUCCGGGCGUUAUCCGGAUUUAUUGGGUUUAAAGGGAGCGUAGGCCGUUUGGUAAGCGUGUUGUGAAAUGUCGGGGCUCAACCUGGGCAUUGCAGCGCGAACUGCCAGACUUGAGUGCGCAGGAAGUAGGCGGAAUUCGUCGUGUAGCGGUGAAAUGCUUAGAUAUGACGAAGAACUCCGAUUGCGAAGGCAGCCUGCUGUAGCGCAACUGACGCUGAAGCUCGAAAGCGUGGGUAUCGAACAGGAUUAGAUACCCUGGUAGUCCACGCGGUAAACGAUGGAUGCUCGCUGUUUGCGUCUGACGUAAGCGGCCAAGCGAAAGCGUUAAGCAUCCCACCUGGGGAGUACGCCGGCAACGGUGAAACUCAAAGGAAUUGACGGGGGCCCGCACAAGCGGAGGAACAUGUGGUUUAAUUCGAUGAUACGCGAGGAACCUUACCCGGGCUUGAAUUGCAACUGAAUGAUGUGGAGACAUGUCAGCCGCAAGGCAGUUGUGAAGGUGCUGCAUGGUUGUCGUCAGCUCGUGCCGUGAGGUGUCGGCUUAAGU
rnacentral:rRNA from 1 species